AAUUCGUUGAUUUAACUCAAACCUGUUAUGAUUUAAGUUAACGAGUGACAUGCAACCAGGUUGUUUGCUGAGUUUACUCCGAGCAACCUGGUUUUCUU
rfam:Streptococcus sp. DD12 genomic scaffold scaffold00001, whole genome shotgun sequence.